GACGGGGUGAAGAUGGCGGCCUUCUCCGAGAUGGGUGUAAUGCCUGAGAUUGCACAAGCUGUGGAAGAGAUGGAUUGGCUCCUCCCAACUGAUAUCCAGGCUGAAUCUAUCCCAUUGAUCUUAGGAGGAGGUGAUGUACUUAUGGCUGCAGAAACAGGAAGUGGCAAAACUGGUGCUUUUAGUAUUCCAGUUAUCCAGAUAGUUUAUGAAACUCUGAAAGACCAACAGGAAGGCAAAAAAGGAAAAACAACAAUUAAAACUGGUGCUUCAGUGCUGAACAAAUGGCAGAUGAACCCAUAUGACAGAGGAUCUGCUUUUGCAAUUGGGUCAGAUGGUCUUUGUUGUCAAAGCAGAGAAGUAAAGGAAUGGCAUGGGUGUAGAGCUA
rnacentral:misc_RNA from 1 species